UUAGAAAUCGGCCCACUUACAGCCCAAUAGUUCAAAAAUUGGGCCGGCCCAUGCUUAACCCAUUAUUACUCAACUAAACUCACCUUGGCCCAUCUUUCUUUACAGCAUCUGAUCGUCCGAUUCAUCUCUUCUCCAGACGCUGCGUUUAUUCACUUUUGUGUGCAUUCCAUCUCUCGCUAGUCGCUACACAAGAACAAUCAAUCAUCCCUUGUGGUCGAUCUCUGAGUUGAAGGUACUGUUUCAAUCUCUAUUCCCAAUCCCUUCGAUCGACUUUUACGUUAAAUACGACCGAAAUAAUGAGAAAAAUUUCACUAUCUAGGGUUCGAGGAUACAGAAAAUUGCACUUUACCUGAAACUCAUAAGACUCCUUGGCUUAGUUGAUCUGAGUUUUCAAAAUGUCGUUUUCUUUUCUUUUUCUUGGUAACCAGGGUCGGAUUUCACUGUGAGUGUUUCUAUAAGUUGGAUAUGCUGUUGCUGGAGGUUUUCAAUUCUAGGGUUUCUGUUUGAACAGGCGUGGAACCAUUGCCAGUUUGGAUUAGAGCUCGGACAGAAGUUUUUGUUAGAUUAACGGUCUUUGAUAUUUGGGAAUGUUUGGAUGCAGAGAAAAUAUGAAAAAAAAAAAGUAAUUAAAAUUCUGAAUAGUAAAAUCUUCACUAUCAAUGAUUUUAAUAACGGGGCCUUUUCCUUUUCCUCCCCCCACUUCUUCUUCCUUUUUUUUUUUUUUCCCCUGUUUGGGAAGCAAAAGAUGAGAAAUAGGGAAAAUAAUUGAAAUAAAAAAGUCUACAAACUCUUUGUACUUAUAUAUAUAUGGUAUAGAUUUAAUUUUUUUUAUCUUGUUUAGUUUUUAAGUAGAUGCUUCUCUGUUUGUUUGUAGCUCAUAAAUUCAUUCAAACUAUUUGAUGGACUGCAAGAAUCUUAAGUUUGUUUUGCUGGUUGGUAUGAUAUAGGAAUGUGAUUCAUCUAAAUUUAGGGUCAAAUAAUUUCUAUUCAUUUAUCCAAGCAUAGACUUGCA
rnacentral:lncRNA from 1 species